rnacentral:rRNA from 1 species
GACGAACGCUGGCGGCGUGCCUAAUACAUGCAAGUUGAGCGAUGAAGAUUGGUGCUUGCACCAAUUUGAAGAGCAGCGAACGGGUGAGUAACGCGUGGGGAAUCUGCCUUUGAGCGGGGGACAACAUUUGGAAACGAAUGCUAAUACCGCAUAAUAACUUUAAACAUAAGUUUUAAGUUUAAAAGAUGCAAUUGCAUCACUCAAAGAUGAUCCCGCGUUGUAUUAGCUAGUUGGUGAGGUAAAGGCUCACCAAGGCGAUGAUACAUAGCCGACCUGAGAGGGUGAUCGGCCACAUUGGGACUGAGACACGGCCCAAACUCCUACGGGAGGCAGCAGUAGGGAAUCUUCGGCAAUGGACGAAAGUCUGACCGAGCAACGCCGCGGGAGUGAAGAAGGUUUUCGGAUCGUAAAACUCUGUUGGUAGAGAAGAACGUUGGUGAGAGUGGAAAGCUCAUCAAGUGACGGUAACUACCCAGAAAGGGACGGCUAACUACGUG